GUGCUCACUUUGGCAGCACAUAUCCUAAAAUUGGAACAAUGCAAAGAUAAGCAUGGUCCCUGCACAAAGAAUGACAUUCAGAUUUGCAUCGUGGUCCACAUCUUU